rnacentral:rRNA from 1 species
AUUGAACGCUGGCGGCAGGCCUAACACAUGCAAGUCGAACGAGUGGCGGACGGGUGAGUAAUGUCUGGGAAACUGCCCGAUGGAGGGGGAUCACUACUGGACACGGUAGCUACUACCGCAUUCCAUCGGCUGUGCCCAGAUGGGUUUAGCUAGUGGGUGGGGUAAAGGCUCACCUAGGCGACGAUCCCUCGCUGGUCUGAGAGGAUGACCAGCCACACGGGAACUGAGACACGGUCCAGACUCCUACGGGAGGCAGCAGUGGGGAAUAUUGCACAAUGGGCGCAAGCCUGAUACAGCCAUGCCGCGUGUAUGAAGAAGGCCUUCGGGUUGUAAAGUACUUUCAGCGAGGAGGCGUUACUCGCAGAAGAAGCACCGGCUAACUCCGUGCCAGCAGCCGCGGUAAUUC